UACGGAGGGUGCGAGCGUUGUUCGGAAUCACUGGGCGUAAAGCGCGUGUAGGCGGCCCACUAAGUCUGAUGUGAAAGCCCGGGGCUCACCCCCGGAAGUGCAUUGGAAACUGGUGGACUCGAGUCCCGGAGAGGAGAGUGGAAUUCCUGGUGUAGCGGUGAAGUGCGUAGAUAUCAGGAGGAACACCGGUGGCGAAGGCGGCUCUCUGGACGGUGACUGACGCUGAGACGCGAAAGCGUGGGGAGCAAACAGG
rnacentral:rRNA from 1 species